rnacentral:rRNA from 1 species
UACAGGGGGGGCAAGCGUUGUUCGGAAUUACUGGGCGUAAAGGGCUCGUAGGCGGCCAACUAAGUCACACGUGAAAUCCCCAGGCUUAACCUGGGAACUGCGUGUGAUACUGGAUGGCUUGAAUCCGGGAGAGGGAUGCGGAAUUCCAGGUGUAGCGGUGAAAUGCGUAGAUAUCUGGAGGAACACCGGUGGCGAAGGCGGCAUCCUGGACCGGCAUUGACGCUGAGGAGCGAAAGCCAGGGGUGCAAACGGG